UCCGGUUCGGGUACAGUCCAAAUUAACAGCAAACCUCGGUUUCUCUCGGUCUCUGUCUCUGCUUCUUCUCCAAUCUCGAUUGAUGUUUGUUUAGGUAUGUCUCAGAUUCUUACCAUUCUUUUACUUCCUCUGUCUCGCGCCUCGUACUACUCUUUAGUCUCUGCUUUCUGCCUUGCCUGUUUUUGUCUCGUUGUCUCUUCGGUAACUAUGCACACCAGCUAUUCGAUUAAACGCCGCUGACAAAACCCACUUCGAUUUCGUAAUCAUCUUCUAAAAGAAUAAUAGAUCUGUAGAGAAAUUCAACUAAACCCAGUUUGUUUUCUAAAAAAAAAAAAGAACUGUUUUAUUUUUUAAUUCAAAGCUUGUGUGAUAAAUAUAUAUAAAGAAAUUGUUUUGAAAAAUACAAGCUGCAAACUUUCUCAUGUUCUUUACAUCAUCAAACCUUCCAUUACCAUCAAAAUUUAGUUGACAUGAAAAUAAUGGUUUAACAUAUGCAUUUGACAAGGAAAAAAAAACAAUUGUGUAUUUACUUCAUGCAAGUAUGUGUGAUGAAAGUAUAAAAAAGGCACACAAGUUACAUCGUCUCUUCUUUGGCUUCUUCUUUGCUUACAUCGUUAAGCCAGUCCACAACUUGUUGGAUAUUUGGUCUUCUCAUAGGGUUCUGGUUCACGCACAUGCAGGCUAUGUCAAGAACACGUAUCAUCUCUCUUUCAUCACCACCCCUCUCUCUCAGCAACGGAUCAAACACCUCCUCUAGUUUUCCAUCCUUCCUCAUUUGAUGCACCCACGCGACUAUCUCUCUCGACACCUUUGGUUUAAAAACCUCCAUCGGCCUUUUCCCGGUGAGAAGCUCGAGCAUGACCACGCCGAAACUGUACACGUCACCUCUCAAGGUAGCUACCCAUGCUUGUCCAUACUCUGGGGGAAUGUAGCCCAAUGUGCCCACAAGCUCCGUUGUGACGUGUGUCCGGUACGGAAGGAUCAGUCUUGAUAACCCGAAAUCUCCGAGGUAGGCCUUGAAACUGCCAUCUAAAAGGAUGUUGCUGGACUUGAUGUCUCGGUGUACUAUAUGUGGUUCGCAUACCUGGUGCAUGUAGGCUAGUCCACAGCUUGCUCCUCUCAUGAUGUGAAGUCUUUUAGACCAAUCCAACUGAGCUGGACCUUCGGGGUUUUCAUGCAGCCAAUAAUCUAGACUCCCGUUCUCCAUGAACGAGUAGAUAAGUAUACGUGCACCUUCAUGGACGCAGUAGCCUUGUAGAUCGACCAGGUUUUCAUGUUUGGCCCUGGAGAGAACUUCCACCUCGGCCUUGAACUCUUUCUCCAUCAGACCGUAGUCUCCUGUGAGUUUCUUAACCGCCACGUUCGUCCCAUUGUCCAAUGUAGCCUUGUAGACAAGACCAAACCCGCCGCAUCCGAUAAUAUUAGCUUGACUGAAGUUGUUGGUAGCUUUCAAGAGCUCGAAUAUGGUCAGGUCUUUUGCUUCGUAUCCACUGUUUCCGAAUAGCAGCACGAGGCUUAUAUCUUUCUCCGAAUCUAAAGGAACUUCAGAGUACGAGGCGUCGGAGCUUAUCUCCAGCCCCGCGUGCUCAGAGUCUCCUGGAUUAACCCUCCUCUUCUUGUCCAUCACCCACAGAGCAAGCAUCACCAAAACCAAACUGACCCCGAAAAAGAUCCCAAUGACAAGUCCCACAACAAGGGGUGUGUUAACUUUUUCUCUCGUCUUUGUAGAAGAAUGCUGAGUACUUGGAGACGUGCAGGAGGUUAGCAGUACACCACCGCACAACAAUGGGUUUCCUUCAAAAUAUGAUUUUGGGAAAGCAUCAAACUGAGCUCCUGUGGGUAUCUGCCCACUGAGAGUGUUGUUGGCAACAUUGAAGUAAGACAUGAAAUGGAGUCCCGUGAGCGACCAAGGGAUCCUACCGGAUAAACUGUUGUUGGAGAGGUCCAGCCGCUCUAAGUUUGUGAGGUUUGACAACUCAUCUGGAAUGCUGCCAGUGAAGUUAUUAGCUUGAAGCUCGAUGACAAUGAGAACCUUUAACCGUCCAAUCUCCACCGGUAUAGUCCCGUUGAGAUUAUUCUUAUUGACGUAUAUCGCGGGUGGGAGGCUGGAGAUCUGAUUGUAUUGCUGAUUAGAGGUGACAUUGUUAGGACUGACGAAAACAGGCAGCUCUAGAUAGCUCCUCUCUGUUGCAUCGUACACCUUUUGGGACAUGAGAGCACUCAGCUGAAACAGUUCCUUUGGAAGCUCUCCCGUAAGAAGGUUACUUGAGAGAUCCAAGUAAAAAAGGUUUGGAAGUGUUCCUAACCAACCGGGAAUAGACCCCACGAGUUGGUUUUGUGAGAGGUCCAUGAGCUCCACGCUCUUGAGCUUGAUCAGCCAAGCGGGUAUUACUCCUCUCAAUCUAGAUCCGCCAGUACCGAAGAUUUGGAGCUUUGGAAAUGCGCCUGGCGCUAGAAAGUCCUCGUUGCUUGGUAGCGUUUCGUCGUAAAAGUUCCUCGCAAUGAUGAGAGUAGAGAGCUUUUUACAGUGUUGAAGAAUGCUGAGGGCGCCUGUGAUGUUGGUCAUUUGAUUUUGUGAAAAUGUGAAGAAAGACAGGGACUCCAGUUCCAGUACUUGUGGAGAUAUCUGUCCUGUUAGCUUGUUCCCUGCGAACCUCAUCGCGGUGAGGUUCUUGCAGGAGUAUACCGUCGAGGGGAAGUCUCCGGUGAAGCUGUUGUUUCCGAGGUCAAGAACGCUGAGGCUCUGGAAACGGGAGAAGUCUACAUUCGAUAAGGUUCCUCCCAGAAGGUUAACUCGUAGAUUCAACUUCACAAGCUUUGUGCAAUUGGAUAAAGAGACGGGGACGGAGCCUGUGAGGUUGUUUAUAUGGAGCUGGAGUCUGCGGAGAUUGAAAAGCUUACCUAUGUUCUUUGGUAUCUCUCCUUGAAGUUGAUUGAAAUAAAGGUCAAGCAGUCUCAGUUUCGUGAGGCUUGUGAUCCCAUCAUCGAUGUUUCCGGAGAGUUGGUUUGCUGGUAGAAGAAGUUCCUCGAGGUUAGAAAGAUUGUAGAUUUCUUUUGGGAUUUCGCCGGAGAGUUUGUUGAAGCCUGCUCGAAGAACGCCUAGCCUGGAGCAUCUGCCUAGUCCUUGAGAGAUAACGCCUGUGAAUUUGUUAUAAGAGACAUCCAGUUUGGUGAGCCGCGGUGAAGAUGUGCAGAUGAUGGAAGGGAGUGGACCGGUGAAGCUGUUGUUGCUGACAUUGAAACUGGUUAACCUGAAAGCACCCUGAAGGAAAACAGAACCGGGUAGGAUGUCGCCUUGGAAAAGAUUGCUGGAGAGAUCAACGGUCUGAAUUGGGAAGUUUUUGUUGCUUCCAUUGGUUAAUGAUUGUUCAAAUGGUGAUUUACCACUGAAACUGUUGUAACUGAGAUCAAGAACCGUGAGCUGGUCAAGAGCAGAGAAGAAGCCUUGUGGGAGAGGACCAGAGAGACGGUUGUAAGAAAUGUUGAGUUGAGAGAGACGAUGGAGAUUCAAAACAGAGGGCGGGAGAGUACCGGAGAGACCUCUAGAGGGCAAGAGAAUCGCAGUGACUCGGUUUUGGGGAGAAUCAUCGCAGGAGAUUCCUUCCCAGGAGCAACAAUCAGUAGACGUGUUCCAAUGCAAAGGAGAAAGUGGAGAUGAUACGUUGGUGGAGAACAAGAGGAGAGAGUCUCGGUCUUGGAGGUUGCAUACAGCUUCUGAAACUGUAAGAAAGAAGACAGAGAGGGAAAGAAGAUAAAUAAAAAUCACAAGGAGACCAGUGGAUUUUGAUCUCAUCUUCUCGUCAAUCAUGGCGAGAACAAGAGAAGAAGAAGCUGAGAAAGAUUGAGUAAGCGUAGAGAAGGAGGAGGAGAAGACAAAAGAGAGGGAAAAGUAGCAAAAGACAUCAUUAUCCAAUCUGGGUUUCUGACUUUCUGUGUCCGAAGCUUGUAAAAUGGUUCGUUGACCAAAGGGAAUAGUCAGACCAAAGAGAAGAAACUUUCUUGUCACACCCAAAGUUAAAUUUUCAAUGCUUUUUGUUAUUUUAUCGUUUUAUCUGUUGACCCGGAUUGUGCUUUGUGGCCCGUGUCUUGUCACUUGUGUGUAUAGAUUUUUGCCCUAAAGUUUUUUAAAAAUUAUUAUUCCUUUUGUAGUAAAAGUCUCUAAAUUUUAUUAUUCCGCAAUCAAGUACAACCUUAUACAUAUGCAACUAUUAUUACAGACAAAAUUGCAAAAGUUGCACAUUCAACCGUUAAACAUAGUUCACAAAGAUACGAAAUUUCUAAUUUGGACAAUAACCUAAGUUAGGUGUUAAUAUUGAAGUCAUCGCUCUGUACAUUCAUAUUUAGUUUAGGAUUCAUCCUUUAUAUAGAUACUUAUGAAAAUUAAUAUAGUUAUUUUGUGUGGUUAUAUUUUUUUUCAUUUAUUCAUGUUAUGAAAACGUUGUUUUUGUCUAUAUGCGUUUUAGUUAUUGGUCUUCUCAGAUUUAUUUUAGGGGAGAGGGUCAUUUCGUGCUUGGAGAUAGAAAGGUCUAUGCGUGCGUGCUAUGAUGUUGAUCAUGAAAAUUGAAAUUUGAAGAAUAUUAUAAUCAUGACGGGC
rnacentral:lncRNA from 1 species